UAUGGGUAUAGAUGAUAUUCUCAAAGUUUAGUCUUAUGAGUAAAAACAAAGAAAAUUUACAUCCCAAUAACAAUAGAUUUUAAUAGAAUCUUAAAAUCAAUGAAAACUAAACUUUUCCAAUAACAAAAGAUUUUGAGUGGAAUUUAAAAGUCAUCAUCCCAAUAACAAUAGAUUCUAAUUAAAUUUUAAAAAUUCAUAAACCAAUAACAAUGGAAUCUCAAAAUUUAAUAACUCUUCUUGAAUUCUUCUACCAAUAAC
rnacentral:lncRNA from 1 species